UCAGGAUGAACGCUGGCGGCGUGCCUAAUACAUGCAAGUCGAGCGAAUGGAUUAAGAGCUUGCUCUUAUGAAGUUAGCGGCGGACGGGUGAGUAACACGUGGGUAACCUACCCAUAAGACUGGGAUAACUCCGGGAAACCGGGGCUAAUACCGGAUAAUAUUUUGAACUGCAUAGUUCGAAAUUGAAAGGCGGCUUCGGCUGUCACUUAUGGAUGGACCCGCGUCGCAUUAGCUAGUUGGUGAGGUAACGGCUCACCAAGGCAACGAUGCGUAGCCGACCUGAGAGGGUGAUCGGCCACACUGGGACUGAGACACGGCCCAGACUCCUACGGGAGGCAGCAGUAGGGAAUCUUCCGCAAUGGACGAAAGUCUGACGGAGCAACGCCGCGUGAGUGAUGAAGGCUUUCGGGUCGUAAAACUCUGUUGUUAGGGAAGAACAAGUGC
rnacentral:rRNA from 1 species